rnacentral:rRNA from 1 species
ACUCAAAUGAAUAGACGGGGGCCCGCACAAGCGGCGGAGCAUGUGGCUUAAUUCGACGCAACGCGAAGAACCUUACCUGGGCUUGACAUGCGGGGCAAAGCCGUGGAAACACGGCGCCCUUCGGGGCCCGCACAGGUGGUGCAUGGCUGUCGUCAGCUCGUGCCGUGAGGUGUUGCCUUAAGUGGCGCAACGAGCGCAACCCCUGUCCCUAGUUGCCAGCGGGUAAAGCCGGGAACUCUAGGGAGACUGCCGGUGCCAAACCGGAGGAAGGUGGGGAUGACGUCAAGUCAUCAUGCCCCUUACGUCCAGGGCUGCACACAUGCUACAAUGCGUGGCACAAAGGGCUGCAAUCCCGCAAGGGGGAGCGAAUCCCAAAAAACCACGCUCAGUUCGGAUCGGGGUCUGCAACUCGACCCCGUGAAGUCGGAGUCGCUAGUAAUCGCAGAUCAGCAACGCUGCGGUGAAUACGUUCCCGGGCCUUGCACACACCGCCCGU